GUCUUUUUGAAAUAAUUUAAAGUCUAAUCUGCCCACUGAUAAAAUUAAAGGGCUGCAGUAUAAUGACUGUACAAAGGUAGCAUAAUCAUUAGUUUUUUAAUUGAAAACUUGUAUGAAAGAUUUGAUGAAAUAUAAACUGUCUCUAAUUUAUUAAUUGAAUUUUAUUUUUUAGUAAAAAAGCUAAAAUAAAUUUAAAAGACGAGAAGACCCUAUAGAGUUUUAUAUUUUAUUUUAUUUAAAAAUUAUAUAAAAAUUAAUAUUUAAAUAAAAUUAAUUAUUUUAUUGGGGUGAUAGAAAAAUUAAAUGAACUUUUUUUAAAAAUUAAACAUAAAUAAAUGAUUAAAUGAUCCAUAAAUAAUGAUUAUAAGAAAAAAUUACCUUAGGGAUAACAGCGUAAUAUUUUUUUUUAGUUCAAAUAAAAAAAAAAGUUUGCGACCUCGAUGUUGGAUUAAGAUAAAAUUUAAAUGCAAAAGUUUAAAAUUUUGAUCUGUUCGAUCAUUAAAAUCUUACA
rnacentral:rRNA from 1 species